AUGCAUGGAUCCGCUUGCUCAGAGCUUCUUGUUGGCGAGGCCGAGGGCGACGGAGACCAUCUGGGCGAGGUGGCGCUGCAUGACCUCGUAGGGCGACUUGACGUCGCGCUCCUCGUACCAGUUGUCGCAGUCGCCGGCGUAGGUGCUGGCCGCCGUCAUCUUCUCCACCAGGCUCUCGCUGCUGGUGCCGGGCUUGUGCAUCGCCCGGCUCACCUCCUCCAGCGCGUCCACCAGGUCGUCGUAGUUCUGCUCGCACGACCCCAGGAUGGACGCCAUCGGGUUCCCGGCCCCGGACGCCGCCUUGGCCGCGUCGAACGUCACCUUGGCCGCCCGCGCCCGCCCCAGCGCCACCCGCACCGCCGUCUCCAUCAGCGUCCGCGCCGUCGUCACCCCGGGCAGGUGCAGCAGCGUGUGGCACACCCGCUGGUACGCCUCCAGCUGGUCGCACGCCUGCACCGCCCCCGGGGCCGCGCCGGCCGUGUCCGCCGACGGCAACGCGCCCCCGCCGGCGGCCAGCUUGCGCCCUUCCAAGAAGAUGAAGCCCUUCUUCUGGACGACGGACGCCUUGCUCUGCGAGACGGCGAGCCUCUUCUUCGGGAUGCUGAUCUUGCUCUGCGUGACGUCGAGCUUGCUGCCCCGGGCGGAGGCGUGGUCGGCCGGCGCCGCGUCGUGCCUCGCGAUGAAGAGCUUGCUGCCCCCGGCCAAGGCGUGGUCGGCCGGCGCCGCGUCGUGCCUCGCGAUGAAGAGCUUGCUGCCCCCGGCGAAGAUGUGGUCGGUCGCCGUGCCCUGCUUCGAGAUGUGCAGCUUUAUGCCCCGGGCGAGGAUGAAGUCCUUGGUGACGGCGUCGCCGUUGUGGGUCGGGCCGGCCUCGGCGGCGCCGGCGGCGAUGAAGAAGACGACGGUGGCGAGGAGGAGGGCGGUGGUGGUGGCGGAGAGCCGCGCCAUGUUUCUUGCUCCUUUCGGUCUCUUCUCGACCGCCCUCGUCGAGAGUUUAUUUAUCGGUGUGCGCGCGGGGAGGGCAGGCCAAAUUAA
rnacentral:rRNA from 1 species